UUCAUUCAAAAAUUUGAAGUUUCCUGCUCCGCCGCUCCAAAGCUCUUUGCCGGUGACGAGGCUCAAAUCACCAUAUGAGGCUACCAAACUCAACCUCUCAACAUGCUGAAACCAAAUCCAAAUCUUAAUUCAAACAGAAACCAAACAUCAGACCAAAUCGUAGGAACAUAAGUAUGAACCCUAGAACUAGGAAAGUAAAAUUAAAUGGUGGAUUGGAACAUGACGACUCUGAAACCGUAGGGUAAAUACUCCCCUAAGUGAACUCUACAAGU
rnacentral:lncRNA from 1 species